CAAAGGAAUUGACGGGGGCCCGCACAAGCGGAGGAACAUGUGGUUUAAUUCGAUGAUACGCGAGGAACCUUACCCGGGCUUGAACUGUAGGCGAACGAUCCAGAGAUGGUGAGGCCCUUCGGGGCGCCUAUGGAGGUGCUGCAUGGUUGUCGUCAGCUCGUGCCGUGAGGUGUCGGCUUAAGUGCCAUAACGAGCGCAACCCCUCUCUUCAGUUGCCAUCAGGUUAGGCUGGGCACUCUGGAGACACUGCCACCGUAAGGUGUGAGGAAGGUGGGGAUGACGUCAAAUCAGCACGGCCCUUACGUCCGGGGCUACACACGUGUUACAAUGGGUGGUACAGAGAGUUGAGUGUACGCAAGUGCAUUCUAAUCAAGAAAGCCAUCCUCAGUUCGGACUGGGGUCUGCAACCCGACCCCACGAAGCUGGAUUCGCUAGUAAUCGCGCAUCAGCCAUGGCGCGGUGAAUACGUUCCCGGGCCUUGUACACACCGCCCGUCAAGCCAUGAAAGCUGGGGGCACCUGAAGUCCGUGACCGCAAGGGUCGGCCUAGGGUGAAACCGGUGAUUGGGGCUAAGUCGUAACAAGGUAGCCGUACCGGAAGGUGCGGCUGGAACACCUCCUUUCUGGAG
rnacentral:rRNA from 1 species